AUCACACACCUUCUCUCUACUUCUAUAUCCAGACAUUUUGCCCACCCAUAAUACCUAUUCAUCUCCCUAACUCACAAUUCGCUCCUCUUCUCCUCCACAGAUGAAACUCCAACGCACAGUCCUGAUACUGGUGGUGUUGUCAGUGUUGUCGGUGUUGGUAGUGACAGCACCCAACGAUCUUCAGCCGAGGAAGAGGUUUGGCUUCAGGAGUAGAUUCAACCGCAGGAAAUCUCUCGGUAUCUGGGCUCCGGACAUUGAUAACCGCUUCUGGCACGGAUAUGACAUAGACGGCUAUACCAGAAACGGAUGAAUUUGUGGAUGAGUGAAGCGUCUUGGAUGCUGCUGUUUCAUCUGUUUCGUCUCGUUUCAUCUCACAAGCCGUUUUAAGUCAAGUUCCUCGGUAUUAUUUCGUCUCUUAAAUAAGUAGAAAAAAUGUUAAGUACAAAAAGAAGAGUCAGUUAGAUUUAAGGAAUAGUGUUGUAUAAGUAAAUGGAAUAAAGUCACAAAAGGAAAGACAGUGUGGUUCCAUUUUUUUUUUUUUUUUUUUUUUUUUUAAGGUAGGACGAAUAAAGUUGUGAAAGCUCUGUUGGAUUUUGAUUUGAGAACACUAUAUAUAUAUAUUUUUUUUUUUAUCAUUUCAUCACUUCAUGCAAAGGAGCCAUUAGCUGGUACUGAUCUGAAAUUGAUCAAUCUCUCUAUGAUAUGUAUAUUUUUGCGUUCAUCUACAUAUGCAUUUAUUAAUAUAAACGUACUAUAAUAUUUGCAAAUUAAGUUUUUUAAUAAUCUUUUUCCUGAAAACACAAAGACUGAAUCCUUUUCCUGUUUUUCUUUCUUUCUUUCUUUCUCUCUUUCUUUC